rnacentral:rRNA from 1 species
CCUACGGGUGGCAGCAGUGGGGAAUAUUGCACAAUGGGGGAAACCCUGAUGCAGCGACGCCGCGUGAGUGAAGAAGUAUUUCGGUACGUAAAGCUCUAUCAGCAGGGAAGAAAAAAAGUCCUUUGGACUUUGGACGGUACCUGACCAAGAAGCCCCGGCUAAAUACGUGCCAGCAGCCGCGGUAAUACGUAGGGGGCAAGCGUUAUCCGGAUUUACUGGUGGGAAAGGGAGCGUAGACGGCAGCGCAAGUCUGGAGUGAAAUGCCGGGGCCCAACCCCGGAACUGCUUUGGAGACUGUGCAGCUGGAGUGUAGGAGAGGUAAGCGGAAUUCCUAGUGUAGCGGUGAAAUGCGUAGAUAUUAGGAGGAACACCAGUGGCGAAGGCGGCUUACUGGACUGUAACUGACGUUGAGGCUCGAAAGCGUGGGGAGCAAACAGGAUUAGAUACCCCAGUAGUC